rnacentral:lncRNA from 1 species
GCAGGAUCAAAACAAAACUGUGGGGAAGCAAACAAGCUCCUUCUAGUGCCAGGAUCCUGAAUUCCAGUUCACUUUUUCAGACAUGUUCAUCCAUCAAACUGGAGAAGCCUUCCCCUCAGUUAUCUCCUUAGAAUCUGCCCUCCGUUCGAAGUCCAGGAGAGAAAUCAAAUGCAAGUUUUCAGGUGGCACACACAUCCAAGGCACAGCUCACACGAAUGCUAAGGAAAUGAACAAAAACCUUCGUGGUGCAGGAGGGAAAGGCACUUGA